UUGUAAUGAUCUAAUUUCUUGUAUGGUUUAUUUAUCAGGGUCUGCCUUCCUAACAGGCUGUAGGUUCCUCAAGGGUUGGGACUGUGCCUGUGUUCUGGGCACCUGCCCAUGCCUGGCAAUUUGAAGAAGCUCAAUUGCUACAUGUUGAAGGAAUGAAUAAUUGCAUGAGCAACCAUCGAUAAUUGCAUGCUACAACCAUCAAACUUGCAGGGUUCUUCCAUGGAAUAAGUGAGCUUCAGCACCACAGAAGAGACCAGAGUCUACCUUGCCAGCUCCUCUAGCACCGACCACGUGCCAAUUCAUGUCCUGAAUGCUCACUUCACUUCUUCACCUUGCUUCACUUCACUUACUGCACGGGAACAGAAAAGCCUAGAGAGGAUGGAUUACCUGUGCGGUUGCCUCCCUCUGCAGAGUGGGCGUGUCUCAGGAGCUUCUCUUCUUCUCCAGCCCAGUGCGGCCUCGUGUCAUCCAUAGGACCCACCGGCAGAGGGCAGGGCCUGCGAGUGGGGCCAGCCUCCUGGUGACUCUCGCCUCCUCUUUUCCAGCGGACGCUACCAGAGGACGAAGGUCUGACUCUGGCCAACGGCCCAGAAUUUCUGGCCCAGUUUUGCCUGAGGAAGCCAACUGUGCAGGAGGUCAGGAUCCCGGUAGGGUGAGAGUGGGAAAGUUAACAUUCCCAAGAGACUCCAAGCAACAGGAUUUCCUGACCUGGGACUAUUACCUUUCUCACAUUACAUGGCCAGAUUUACUUCCUGCUAUUAUUAAAAGUACGAAAAAGAUGAAGAUAUGUGUUUAAUGGAAACAAGGGCAAGAGUUUGCCUGACUGGACUUUGAGGAGGCUGUAGGAUCAUGGCGCUAACGGCAUUUGGAGGGCUGGGAAGGGACUCUAGCCCUGGCUUUACCUGCCUUUGUCAUCAGCUGGAGCAAGCAACUCCGCAACCUCGGAGCCUCAGUUUCCUUUUCUGUAAAAGGCGGGGAGGGUGGGUGGUAAGUGCAAUGCUGAAUCAGAACUCAUAGAGCUGCUGGGUGGACAUGUGAAGUAAAAGAGGAGACAGCUUUUGCUCCUGAAGGAUGCCAUUUGCGUUUUCCUCAUCAGUUUGAUCUCCUCCAAUCAUCCAGCACCUCCAUCUGACCUUCUCAGCUGAGAGGUCCUCAGUGUUUCUGUGGCCUCCAGGAGAAAGGUCCCCCUCCCCGGCUGAGGCCAGGCUGAUGGCAGGCUGCACGGCCAGCCUUCCACAGUCACCUGAAGGAUACAGAAAAGGAAGAGCUGGAGGCUUCUAGCAAGCUGCCGAACUGUGUCCUCCAGCUGCGCCCAGCCCCCUGGAGGUAGCGCCGGAGCACGUGGUGGUGGCUAUGUAGGAAGGCCCCUUUCGAGCCGCCCUAUACUGUCUUUGGGAUCUGCUUUUUACUGCCACAGCCUAUGUGCUCCUGAUUCUUCUCUCAAUCCCUGGAUGGAAACCGGCCUCUGAUACUUGGCUCUGCUUCCUUGGAGGAGCUACUUAACCAUUCAGUCCUCUCUGCAGUUAGCUAUUAAGGUUGUCCUGCGAACUGAAGCAGAGAGUCCCCGCAAAGGGUGCAGAGUAGGGCACCCACAGAGGAGCCUCUAAAGCACUUUCCAUGAGGUGGAUGGCUUCUCCUCCCCAAGGGACCCAGGAAGGAAAGGAGAGCUGCUUCUGCCUCCCCAGCAGAGAGGGACCUUCCCAGAGAAGAUGUCUUGCGCCUCACCUGAUCUUGUUCUGAGAGUAGGAGACUGGAAGAGAAGCGUUCAACUCCCCAAACACAGCUGGGUUUGUUUCGUUUAAUCUCCCAGCCUGUUUUUCUGCUGUCCUCCUGAAGAAUGUUUAAUCUCACAGUUAAAACCACCAAAAGCGACUUUUUUCCCCCUCAACUGCUCAGUAACACAUGACCGUGCAAAUUCGUUUGGCCCCAGCGCCACAAGUCAUAAAAGGCAUCUAGUGGGCGGCAUGAGUCAAUCAGGCCUUUGGACGGUGACGUAACCACAGCUUGUCAGUUUCCCCAUCCAGGCAGCCCCAAUCCCCCAGUGCAGACAUCUGGAGCCAGGGAUUGACAAGUGGAUUCCAGGAUUGGGCCCUGCCUCCCGCCCUGUUCAGUUCCAGCCCAGCCACGGCCGCCGCCAACGAGGACACGCACUGUCUUUCUGCACAUUCCCACGUACACACACCCCCGCAGCCCCCUCUCCACUCAUUCCUGCAUUUCCGGCAAUGUGAAUUCUGACAGCUCGGGCAGUGUCAGCCUCUCCGGUGCAUUCCUCACCACACCACCUCACUGCUCCCGAGCCUGCUGACAGCACUCCCCGCCAUACCUACCAAGCCGAAGGUGCAAGGAACCUCUUGAUCCCCACUGUGUCUUUGUCCCAGGGCCACAGCAAAAUAGCACCCCCCUCCCCCACACACCCUCUAGCCUAAUUUAUUAGACUUUUAAACACAUUUAUUUACUGUGAUAUCUACACCACACCAAACAUCUGGAGGGAAACCGGGAGACAAUCCACCAGGAAUUUAAAUGUUUGUUCUGCAAUGUAACUUUGAAAACCGAACCAGGAAAACUUGACAUCUUUAGCCAAUUGCUUGGUGGUGAGUAGACUUAAGCCAAUAUAUAAUCUGUAAAGGUUGUCCCUCUUUGCCCUCUCUCUAUCCAUGAAACGCAUUCACCAAACAGCCCAGAAAUAUUUCUUUCUUCUCCUCUCAGAGGUAUGUGAAACCAACCUGAAUCAACAACAUAGUUGUUCAACCAGCCUCACUGAGAACGAAGGCAUUUCAGAGCUGGAAAGACGCUAGGGUCUGGGGUCUUAUCUUCCACAUUUAUCUGCCUUAUUAUAAUCCAUCCAGUCAUCCUCUUUGCCCUUGCCAGAUCUCAUCGCUUACACUACCACUACCGAAGGAGCAUAACGUCUGUGACUUUUCUUUUUUUUUUUUUUUUUUUUUGAGAUGGAGUCUUGCUCGGUAACCGGGCUGAAGUGCAGUGGCAGGAUCUUGGCUUACUGCAACCUCUGCUUCCUGGGUUCAAGUGAUUCUCCUGCCUCAGCCUUCUGAGUAGCUGGGACUCCAGGCAUGCGCCACCACGCCCAGUUAAUUUUUGUAUUUUUAGUAGAGAUGGGGUUUCACUAUGUUGGCCAGGUUGGUCUCGAACUCCUGACCUCGUGAUCCAUCUGCCUCGGCCUCCCAAAGUGCUGGGAUGACAGGUGUGAGCCACCGCACCCGGCCACGUCUGUGACUUUUCUAAAGCUUUAAGAUGAUGUCACCCAUAGGCAGAAAGGCCCACUCAUUUCGUGCAUCUGCAGUCACUCUUCUGACGAGGUGCGGCUCUCUUUUGUUCUAUCAAAGAGAAAGCCAGUCUAAAUUAAUGGGAAACUAGAGAAUUAGGUCAUUUUUCAAGAUGAAAUUGCUGGUAGCUUAAGGAAUCAGCUACUUGAAUCCCAUGCUAAAAAAGUGUAACUCCUGAGGAGUGAGCUCUUCUUUCUUCCUUCCAUAAUGUCAGGCACUAAGGGAGGUUCAGAAACACAGAGCAGCAUCUACUCCUUUCUCAACGAGCGUGGGGUCCAGUGCAGUUGGCCCUCAUUUAACAAAUAAUUACACCCAUGCGUGAAAGGUCCAGUGGGGAAACAGUGCGGGGAGCCUCAGGCAGAGCUGAUUCAGGCCUGGGGAGGCACGGGAGCCACAUGUUCAGGGUCCACAGGCCCAGCGGAGUGAUACGGAAGUUUCCAAGAUGGUAAGCCUCUCUCCUGGCCCAUGCUCACCAACGGGACCCCAUUCCUAACCAGGCUUUCCCUCUCUCUCUUUUAAGUGUUCCAGGAAUGUUCCUACCCCUGCGUCUUUGCUGAAGCCCCUCUUGCCUGGGAUGCCCUCUGUCCUCUCUUUCUGCCCACACACAUCCUGCCAGUCCUUCAGACAGGGCCAGCCUCACGGGCAUAGGACCUGAGCAGUUUCACAGGGCCCUAUGCACAGAAGGAUCCCAAGCUCGGUUGAUUGCUCCGAUCUUGCCAUCUUGAAACUCUUUGAUAAUUUUAUCUUUUAUCUUGUGUUUUGGGAGUGAAAUCCAAUGGGAUAUUGGGGCCUGCAAAGGAGAAGAGGAGAUCCGCACAAACCCGUUCCUGGCUGCUGCAUUCACCUCCAGCGUUUGUGAUGCCCCAGAGCACAGAACUCCAGGGAGCCCACGAUGCAGGAGAGUUCAGCGACAUUCACUGAGUACAAGAGAAGUGAGUUACUCCUGCAGCUGAGCACGGGGGGCGCUGGCAACUGCGAAAGGUCUCGCUUUCCAUUCCAACCAGAACUUGCUCCUAGCGCAGACAGAAGGCCGUGGCAUUCUGAGAAACACACAUGAUGAAGGAGCCCUGUCAUAUCCUCUCUUCCUUGCAUCGCUUCCCCGUGUGAGCAACCACUUGUGCUGGAAAUGAUGACAAGGAAGGACCGGGAAAGACAGGGCCACCCGCAGUUCCUUUUCCUUGACGUCUUUCCUUCCUCAUCAGCGAGCUGAGGUGGAGAGCGUUGGUAGAAUGUGUGCAUAAUAAGAAGUGAAAUAAAAACAGUCGAGUUAGUAUUCUACUGUUUCCACUGUUCUGGUGAGAACAAAACACAUAUGCUGUAUAUGCUUUGAAAUACAAAGUGUGUAAUUUUAGUGAUUCUGCAUAGGAGUUAAAUGUUUUUAUAUUUGCAUUUAAAACUGCCAUUGUAUACUAUAAAGAUAAAGAGUAAAAUGUAUUCUAAUAGUUUAACUUUACUAAUAAUUUAGUUUUUACUUUUAUUUACCUAGAGUAACAUUAAAUAGCAAACAAACAAAACAAACAUCACAAGUUGAGAGAGAAACCACAAAAGAAAGAAAAAAGCUUUAUAUGUUAGUACCUUGAGAGGCACUUUUUCCUGCUUUUUGAGUAGGGAUUCAUGUUUUCCCGUUGCACUGGGCCUCACAA
rnacentral:lncRNA from 1 species